CACGUAUUUAGCCGGAGCUUCUUUUUCAGGUACCGUCACUUUCUUCCCUGCUAAUAGAGCUUUACAUAACGAAUUACUUCUUCACUCACGCGGCGUCGCUGCAUCAGAGUUCCCUCCAUUGUGCAAUAUUCCCCACUGCUGCCUCCCGUAGGAGUCUGGGCCGUGUCUCAGUCCCAAUGUGGCCGUCCACCCUCUCAGGCCGGCUACUGAUCGUUGCCUUGGUGUGCUUUUACCACUCCAACUAGCUAAUCAGACGCGGGUCCAUCUCAUACCAGAUUUCUCCUUUUCACACAAAAACAUGCGUCCUCGUGCGCUUAUGCGGUUUUACCACCAGUUUCCCGAUGCUAUCCCCCUGUAUGAGGCAGGUUGCCCACGCGUUACUCACCCGUCCGCCACUAAGAUACUUCUCUUUCACCUCGAAAAGCUUCCAAGCAAUAUCUCCGUUCGACUUGCAUGUGUUAGGCACGCCGCCAGCGUUCAUCCUGAGCCAGGAUA
rnacentral:rRNA from 1 species